UCGGCAUGGCACAUGAUAUAGAGCCAUGGUCUAACUCCUUAGGUAGUUCUUUAGGCCAUCUAGCCACAGGAAAGCGGCUCAAUAAUCAAUCUAUUGGAAUGUGUGGUGUUGGAAAAGAAGGCCGACCUUUGCUCACAGCAGAGAAGGAUGCUUACCAUUUACUGAAUUAAGUACGAUCCCAUCUCUGUCGAGCAUGUUCAUCCUCAGGUGCUGCGGGUCCACACCGAAGUGCCUUCCACUCCGCGUCAGGAUCCUGUUGUUCCCCAGGAAGCUUUCACAGUCUUUGACGUACUCAGCAUCGUACUUCAGUCAUUGGAAGUCUGCAUCCAACAACUCGGCACUGAGCUGCAGAUGGAUAAACCAAGGUUGGGAUUGUUCACCAAGGAAAUUUCUGGGGAAUGGUCCAUCUAGUGUGGAGGACCCAACGGUCUGGAUGAUCCAGAUCGAACACAGGGCCCCACUUUUGUACAAAAUGAAAAACCGAGUAUCCUAUCCAGGGAGGUUAAUAUCAUGCUCACCAGCAAAGGUAUACUGAAAUGAAAGGCUGUGCUUAUCAGGGUGAAAUUUCCUACUCUCGCCGGCAAAGUUGCAGAAGGCGGUUAGAAACUCAGGCAAUCUGAAGAUGGGGUUCUUCUGCACGGCAUCCUUCGUACCAUCGACGCACAAUCUGUAUGAUCUUGCACGCCUCAUGAAUCGUUGCAUGAGAGGAUCAAAUGCAGUUGGUGAGGAGCAUGGAUGCCAAUGAAACCAAAUAUAGGAAUUUUUCAGCCUGUGAUUGUGAGUCCAAUAACAGGGAGUUUUUAGGCCUCUGUUAUCAUCAGUCGACAGCAUGUAUCUGGUGCAGCCAGUGCAUAUAAAUUGCAUGCAACAUGUAUCAUCCAAUUGGAGCAUGGAAGGAUACAACCGCAAGCAACAGACAAUUCAAAGCAAAAAAUACUAAUAAUAUGAGAAGGUAGAAUAUCCUGAGUGGACACAUUUUAUGAAUUACAAUCCAAAUCGCAAUGUAUAAAUUUUA